rnacentral:rRNA from 1 species
GACGUAGGGGGCGAGCGUUGUCCGGAUUUAUUGGGCGUAAAGCGUGCGUAGGCGGCUGCGCAAGUCGGGUGUGAAACCCCGGGGCUCAACCCCGGAACUGCAUCCGAUACUGCGUGGCUAGAGGUAGGUAGGGGAGAUCGGAAUUCCUAGUGUAGCGGUGAAAUGCGCAGAUAUCAGGAGGAACACCGGUGGCGAAGGCGGAUCUCUGGGCCUUACCUGACGCUCAGGCACGAAAGCUAGGGGAGCGAACAGG